UACGAAGGGGGCUAGCGUUGUUCGGAAUUACUGGGCGUAAAGCGCACGUAGGCGGAUAUUUAAGUCGGGGGUGAAAUCCCGGGGCUCAACCCCGGAACUGCCUUCGAUACUGGGUAUCUUGAGUUCGGAAGAGGUGAGUGGAAUUGCGAGUGUAGAGGUGAAAUUCGUAGAUAUUCGCAGGAACACCAGUGGCGAAGGCGGCUCACUGGUCCGAUACUGACGCUGAGGUGGGAAAGCGUGGGGAGCAAACAGG
rnacentral:rRNA from 1 species